AUUGAACGCUGGCGGCAGGCUUAACACAUGCAAGUCGAGCGGGGUGAUGGUGCUUGCACUAUCACUUAGCGGCGGACGGGUGAGUAAUGCUUAGGAAUCUGCCUAUUAGUGGGGGACAACAUCUCGAAAGGGAUGCUAAUACCGCAUACGUCCUACGGGAGAAAGCAGGGGAUCACUUGUGACCUUGCGCUAAUAGAUGAGCCUAGGUCGGAUUAGCUAGUUGGUGGGGUAAAGGCCUACCAAGGCGACGAUCUGUAGCGGGUCUGAGAGGAUGAUCCGCCACACUGGGACUGGGACACGGCCCAGACUCCUACGGGAGGCAGCAGUGGGGAAUAUUGGACAAUGGGGGGAACCCUGAUCCAGCCAUGCCGCGUGUGUGAAGAAGGCCUUAUGGUUGUAAAGCACUUUAAGCGAGGAGGAGGCUCUUUUGGUUAAUACCCAAGGUGAGUGGACGUUACUCGCAGAAUAAGCACCGGCUAACUCUGUGCCAGCAGCCGCGGUAA
rnacentral:rRNA from 1 species